rnacentral:rRNA from 1 species
UACGGAAGGCAGCAGUGGGGAAUAUUGCACAAUGGGCGCAAGCCUGAUGCAGCCAUGCCGCGUGUAUGAAGAAGGCCUUCGGGUUGUAAAGUACUUUCAGUCGUGAGGAAGGUGUUAAGGUUAAUAACCUUAGCAAUUGACGUUAGCGACAGAAGAAGCACCGGCUAACUCCGUGCCAGCAGCCGCGGUAAUACGGAGGGUGCGAGCGUUAAUCGGAAUUACUGGGCGUAAAGGGCACGCAGGCGGUUAAUUAAGUUGGAUGUGAAAUCCCCGGGCUUAACCUGGGAAUGGCAUUCAAGACUGGUUAGCUAGAGUCUUGUAGAGGGGGUAGAAUUCCAUGUGUAGCGGUGAAAUGCGUAGAGAUGUGGAGGAAUACCGGUGGCGAAGGCGGCCCCUGGACAAAGAUUGACGCUCAUGUGCGAAAGCGUGGGGAGCGAAACAGGGAUUAGAUACC